AAUGAACGUUGGCGGCGUGGAUUAGGCAUGCAAGUCGAGCGAGAAGUGUUUGUUGCUUGCAAUGGACACGGAAAGCGGCGAAAGGGAGAGUAACGCGUGGAUUAUCUACCCCGGGGUUCGGAAUAGCGGCGGGAAACUGCCGGUAAUGCCGGAUAAUGUCCGGAAGCGUGGAGUUUCCGGACCAAAGGUGUGAUUCCGCCUUGGGAUGAGUCCGCGUCCUAUUAGCUUGUUGGUGGGGUAAUGGCCUACCAAGGCGGCGAUGGGUACCGGGCGUGAGAGCGUGGCCCGGCUCACUGGGACUGAGACACUGCCCAGACACCUACGGGUGGCUGCAGUCGAGAAUCUUCGGCAAUGGACGCAAGUCUGACCGAGCGACCGCCGCGUGCGGGAUGAAGGCCCUCGGGUUGUAAACCGCUGUCAGAGGGAGUAAGCGAAGGGGGUUAUCCCCUGGAGUUGAACUAUCCUCAGAGGAAGUGCGGGCUAAGUACGUG
rnacentral:rRNA from 1 species